AUUUGCCCUCAGUAGCACAUGUGAGAAGGGAAGUUGAGGCUUAGAGAUAUGGCUCAGUCAGAGGGCCCAGGGGCACACGAUCUCCACGUUAGCCCUGUCUACUCCUGCCACACUGCCCACAGAGGGCUCAGGAGACCCAUGCUCCAACCUCCUGUAAACUAAAGCAACAGAUGGCAAGCUAGAACUUCCCCAUCAGCCUGGAAAGUUCCUAACAACUUAAUAUUGGGUGAUAGUAGGAAAGUGGAUGAUGGACAUGCCUGAAAAGUGGCUCAGCAGGUGGAGGUGCUUGCUGCCAACCCCGAGGACCUGAGUUUGAGUCCCAGAAUCCACAUGGUGGAAAGAUUCCUGCACAAUGUCCUCUGUCCUCCACACAUGCUCCAUUACAGGUGCUCUGCCUUCCGUGCUCACAGAGAUAAAUGGAUCAAUGUAAUAAAAAUUUUAGAACAA